CAGCAGACAUUGAAAGUGAAGAAUUACCAGCUCUUUAGAAAUCGAAGCAGCGCUGCACGAACUGGGAGCAUGCCGCCGCGCAAAAAUAUUGCGCGCCGA
rnacentral:lncRNA from 1 species